GAUGAACGCUGGCGGCGUGCCUAAUACAUGCAAGUCGAGCGAACAGACGAGGAGCUUGCUCCUCUGACGUUAGCGGCGGACGGGUGAGUAACACGUGGAUAACCUACCUAUAAGACUGGGAUAAUUUCGGGAAACCGGAGCUAAUACCGGAUAAUAUAUUGAACCGCAUGGUUCAAUAGUGAAAGACGGUUUUGCUGUCACUUAUAGAUGGAUCCGCGCCGCAUUAGCUAGUUGGUAAGGUAACGGCUUACCGAGGCAACGAUGCGUAGCCGACCUGAGAGGGUGAUCGGCCACACUGGAACUGAGACACGGUCCAGACUCCUACGGGAGGCAGCAGUAGGGAAUCUUCCGCAAUGGGCGAAAGCCUGACGGAGCAACGCCGCGUGAGUGAUGAAGGUCUUCGGAUCGUAAAACUCUGUUAUUAGGGAAGAACAAAUGUGUAAGUAACUAUGCACGUCUUGACGGUACCUAAUCAGAAAGCCACGGCUAACUACGUG
rnacentral:rRNA from 1 species